rnacentral:misc_RNA from 1 species
AAAAAGAAAAAAAAAAAAAAAACGUGCACAUCCUUGCCUCUUAUGUUUAUAGUUUCUGCAUGACAAUCUCAAUUUUCUUAGCAGCAUCAUAUAAAUGCUUUAACUUGACUUCUUCCAAGAGCAAACAACAUGUCCGAUAUCUAGGCAUUAUAUCUUUACCAAUCAUUUCCUCAAACAGGCAGUAAGCCCAAUCACACUUGUUUGCUCUACAAAGUCCAUGAAUUAAAAGCGUGUAGGCUGAUUUGUCAAGACUGAGAUGAUGCUUUUUAACCAUGUCAUCCAAUAAUUGACGCAACAAACUAUCUAUCUUACCAGUUCUAAAGCAUGACUUAAGCAAUGGGUAGUAAGUUUGAACAUCGGGCUUACAAAUCAUUGAAGUUUCCAUUUCGUUAAGCAGAUUCAAAGCCUUUAGUUCUUGAGCUUGAUGGCAUAACAUGGCAAUCAUGGAAUUGUAUGUAGAUGUAUUUGGGGGAAUGCCAGUACUUGGCAUCUCUUCCUCAAAAAUACGAACAGCUUCCUGUGGUCUGCCAGCUCUCCCUAGUGAAUGGAUCAGAGAAUUGUAAAACAGCGCAUCAGGUUUACAUCCAACUAACCUCAUCCUCUGGGCUAUUUCUAAAGCCUCUUCAUAUUUCUCUGACUUUGCUAGCGCACUCAUCACAGAGGUGUAAGUAACAACAUUAGGUGUGGAUCCCAGGGCAGCUUCCAUUUCAUCAAGGAGUUCAUAGACCUUGCAAAAGUCACAUCUACAGCAGUAGAAUUGGAUGAUGGUAGAAUAGCUUAUGACACAAGGGAGAAAACCAUGUCCUCUCAUUUCCUGGAUUGUCCAGUAUGCUUCAUCAACCCGACAGACUUUGCACCAACCAUGAAUAAAAAUGUUAAAUGUGUUAGCGUUUGGAGAAAUGUGUGAUUUGAGCUCCAAGAAGAUCUCACGGGCUUGCUCCACCUUGCGUUCUUUGCAAAGGGUGUCCAGUAACAAGUUCAUAGACUCUGUAUUCUUCUCCAACCCAAAAGUUCCUAACUUGUCAAAUACCCUUACAGCAUUUUCCCAUUGCCCUGCCCCAGAAAACCUUCUCAUAGCCUUACCCACUGUCUUAAGUGUAACAAGCUGACCUUUCUUCAUUUCCUCUAACAAUGCCUCCAUCUGAUCCAUUUGUUUCAUUUUCCCCAGAAUGUCCACCAAUGUAUCAUAAGCUUCUGACUUAUGCUUAUAGCCACGCAACUCUGCCCAUCUAAAGACACCCAAUGCAGAUUUCCAAUCAUCCUUAAAAUGGAACAACAAUCUGUUAACAAGGUCAUGAGAAAGAUGUAUACUAUUACACGUUUGAUCAUGCGCAAGAGAUUGAAGAAUCUCAUCAUGACUAUUCCCAACUCGAACUUUCUCUACAAGAAUCCCUAUGUCAGAUUGUCUUGUCGAGUUCAGACAUUGUUCUUGACAAUCAAGUUUACGCUUGGCAAAAUGGGGAGUUUCAAAAGUUUCAACUAGGGAAGAAACAAAGAUAGAAGAAAGAGCAUGAAAGCUAUGACCACAGUGAACAAAGUAAAGGGCACAAGAAAAUGAUGGGUCAAGAAAGACACAGGUAGUUCUAAGGCAGCUCCCAAGAAGUGAAACCAUGGAGAAGGGCAAAUAUACACCUGCAUCCCAAGUGAAUUUAGAGCGUGAUUAGAGUUCAAUUAGAUGCUCCCUAACUAAAUUAUACUAAUUUCACCUCCUGACACUGGUUUCCAAUUCCUGGUUUGAAUUAAACAACCCCAAAGCUACGAUAAAAUUCGAAAAUUGAAAAGGCAAACGCAUGAACUUCACUAGAAUUAAAAGGAUGCUCUUGCAGAAAUAAAAAAUGAAAACAAAAGGGGUAAAAAACAGUGGAACGAGAUGAUGUUUGAAACCGUACCUGAUGGAUUAGAGACCACAGUGAGAUGGCGGCUUUUCCUUUUGGGAGCUAAAACGUCUGGCAGGGGAUUCGAACAACAGAGAAGCCAGAAGGUGAAUCGGACCAGAAGCCAUCCUUGCUAGCUCAGCCUCGAAAGAGAAAUCAGGCCUCAG